UACGUAGGGGGCGAGCGUUAAUCGGAAUUACUGGGCGUAAAGCGUGCGCAGGCGGUUCGCCAAGUCAGGUGUGAAAUCCCCGGGCUUAACCUGGGAAUUGCGCUUGAAACUAGCGAGCUUGAGUGUGGCAGAGGGGGGUGGAAUUCCACGUGUAGCAGUGAAAUGCGUAGAGAUGUGGAGGAACACCGAUGGCGAAGGCAGCCCCCUGGGUCAACACUGACGCUCAUGCACGAAAGCGUGGGGAGCAAACAGG
rnacentral:rRNA from 1 species